UGAACGCUGGCGGCGUGCUUAACACAUGCAAGUCGUACGAGAACGCUUCAGCUUGCUGAAGCUAGUAAAGUGGCGCACGGGUGAGUAACGCGUGGGUAAUCUACCCUCGAAUCGGGGAUAACGUUGCGAAAGCGACGCUAAUACCGGAUGACAUCUUAAGAACCUCGGUUUUUUUGAUCAAAGGUGGCCUCUACAUGUAAGCUACUGUUUGAGGAUGAGCCCGCGUCCCAUUAGCUAGUUGGUAGGGUAACGGCCUACCAAGGCGACGAUGGGUAGCUGGUCUGAGAGGAUGAUCAGCCACACUGGAACUGACACACGGUCCAGACUCCUACGGGAGGCAGCAGUGAGGAAUUUUGCGCAAUGGGGGAAACCCUGACGCAGCAACGCCGCGUGAGUGAUGAAGGCUUUCGGGUCGUAAAACUCUGUCAAGUGGGAAGAACCACCGUGAGGUUAAUACCCUCAUGGUCUGACGGUACCACUGAAGGAAGCACCGGCUAACUCC
rnacentral:rRNA from 1 species